UACUCCCAAGAUGAAGAAACUUUUUUGUUGGAACCCAGCAGCUUUCCUCAGGCUCCGAGCACAGUGGUGCCGGCUCCAGAGCUUGUCCAUGUGUCUGAGAAGAACCUUUCACAACUUGAAAGUAUCCGUGGCUUCGUUUCUCACUCUCACAUUUCACCAAUCAAGACACCAGGAGCUGUUCUUUCU